UACGAAGGGUGCUAGCGUUGUUCGGAAUUACUGGGCGUAAAGAGCUCGUAGGCGGUUUGUCGCGUCUGCCGUGAAAGUCCGGGGCUCAACUCCGGAUCUGCGGUGGGUACGGGCAGACUAGAGUGAUGUAGGGGAGACUGGAAUUCCUGGUGUAGCGGUGAAAUGCGCAGAUAUCAGGAGGAACACCGAUGGCGAAGGCAGGUCUCUGGGCAUUAACUGACGCUGAGGAGCGAAAGCAUGGGGAGCGAACAGG
rnacentral:rRNA from 1 species